rnacentral:rRNA from 1 species
GAUGAACGCUGGCGGCGUGCCUAAUACAUGCAAGUCGAGCGAACAGACGAGGAGCUUGCUCCUUCGACGUUAGCGGCGGACGGGUGAGUAACACGUAGGUAACCUACCUAUAAGACUGGGAUAACUUCGGGAAACCGGAGCUAAUACCGGAUAAUAUUUCGAACCGCAUGGUUCGAUAGUGAAAGAUGGCUUUGCUAUCACUUAUAGAUGGACCUGCGCCGUAUUAGCUAGUUGGUAAGGUAACGGCCUACCAAGGCAACGAUACGUAGCCGACCUGAGAGGGUGAUCGGCCACACUGGAACUGAGACACGGUCCAGACUCCUACGGGAGGCAGCAGUAGGGAAUCUUCCGCAAUGGGCGAAAGCCUGACGGAGCAACGCUGCGUGAGUGAUGAAGGUCUUCGGAUCGUAAAACUCUGUUAUUAGGGAAGAACAAACGUGUAAGUAACUGUGCACGUCUUGACGGUACCUAAUCAGAAAGCCACGGCUAACUACGUG